rnacentral:rRNA from 1 species
GGCUCAGUAACAAGUAGUCAAUCUGCCCUAAGGACGGGUAUACCCUCGGGAAACUGAGGUUAAACCCCGAUGCCCCGCCCAUGCUGGAAUGCUUGGCGGGGAAAAUGCGCGGCGAAUCGGAGCCGUUGCGCCUUAGGAUGAGACUGCUCCUGAUUAGGUAGUUGGUGAGGUAACGGCUCACCAAGCCGAUAAUCAGUAGGGGCAAUGGGAGUUGGCGCCCCGAGAAGGGCACUGAGACAAGGGCCCUAGUCCUACGGGAUGCAGCAGGCGCCAAACCU